rnacentral:rRNA from 1 species
AGUGAACGCUGGCGGUAGGCCUAACACAUGCAAGUCGAACGGCAGCACAGUAAGAGCUUGCUCUUACGGGUGGCGAGUGGCGGACGGGUGAGGAAUACAUCGGAAUCUACUUUUUCGUGGGGGAUAACGUAGGGAAACUUACGCUAAUACCGCAUACGACCUACGGGUGAAAGCAGGGGAUCUUCGGACCUUUCGCGAUUGAAUGAGCCGAUGUCGGAUUAGCUAGUUGGCGGGGUAAAGGCCCACCAAGGCGACGAUCCGUAGCUGGUCUGAGAGGAUGAUCGGCAACACUGGAACUGAGACACGGUCCAGACUCCUACGGGAGGCAGCAGUGGGGAAUAUUGGACAAUGGGCGCAAGCCUGAUCCAGCCAUACCGGGUGGGUGAAGAAGGCCUUCGGGUUGUAAAGCCCUUUUGUUGGGAAAGAAAAGCAGCAGGUUAAUACCCCGCUGUUCUGACGGUACCCAAAGAAUAAGCACCGGCUAACUUCGU